CAGCAGCCACGGUAAUACGAAGGGGGCUAGCGUUGCUCGGAAUUACUGGGCGUAAAGGGCGCGUAGGUGGACAGUUAAGUCAGAGGUGAAAGCCCAGGGCUCAACCUUGGAACUGCCUUUGAUACUGGCUGUCUAGAGUGCGGGAGAGGUGUGUGGAACUCCGAGUGUAGAGGUGAAAUUCGUAGAUAUUCGGAAGAACACCAGUGGCGAAGGCGGCUCACUGGCUCAUUCUAGACGCUGAGGUGCGAAAGCGUGGGGAGCAAACAGGAUUAGAUACCCCUGUAGUCCCUGUCUCUUAUAA
rnacentral:rRNA from 1 species